CCUACGGGGGGCAGCAGUGGGGAAUAUUGGACAAUGGGGGCAACCCUGAUCCAGCCAUGCCGCGUGUGUGAAGAAGGCCCUCGGGUUGUAAAGCACUUUCAGUGAGGAAGAACGCCUGGUGGUUAAUACCCAUCAGGAAAGACAUCACUCACAGAAGAAGCACCGGCUAACUCCGUGCCAGCAGCCGCGGUAAUACGGAGGGUGCGAGCGUUAAUCGGAAUUACUGGGCGUAAAGCGCGCGUAGGUGGCUUGAUAAGCCGGUUGUGAAAGCCCCGGGCUCAACCUGGGAACGGCAUCCGGAACUGUCAAGCUAGAGUGCAGGAGAGGAAGGUAGAAUUCCCGGUGUAGCGGUGAAAUGCGUAGAGAUCGGGAGGAAUACCAGUGGCGAAGGCGGCCUUCUGGACUGACACUGACACUGAGGUGCGAAAGCGUGGGUAGCAAACAGGAUUAGAUACCUGGUAGUC
rnacentral:rRNA from 1 species